CGUGUAGGCUGCUCCGCAAGUCGGGUGUGAAAGCCCUGGGCUCAACCUAGGAAGUGCACUCGAAACUGCGAAGCUGGAGUCCUGGAGAGGAAGGCGGAAUUCUCGGUGUAGAGGUGAAAUUCGUAGAUAUCGAGAGGAACACCGGUGGCGAAGGCGGCCUUCUGGACAGUGACUGACGCUGAGACGCGAAAGCGUGGGGAGCAAACAGGAUUAGAUACCCUGGUAGUCCACGCCGUAAACGAUGGGUGCUAGGUGUCGCGGGCUUUGACCCCUGCGGUGCCGUAGCUAACGCAUUAAGCACCCCGCCUGGGGAGUACGGCCGCAAGGCUAAA
rnacentral:rRNA from 1 species